GAUGAACGCUGGCGGCGUGCCUAAUACAUGCAAGUCGAGCGAAUGGAUUAAGAGCUUGCUCUUAUGAAGUUAGCGGCGGACGGGUGAGUAACACGUGGGUAACCUGCCCAUAAGACUGGGAUAACUCCUGGAAACCGGGGCUAAUACCGGAUAACAUUUUGAACCGCAUGGUUCGAAAUUGAAAGGCGGCUUCGGCUGUCACUUAUGGAUGGACCCGCGUCGAAUUAGAUAGUUGGUGAGGUAACGGCUCACCAAGGCAACGAUGCGUAGCCCACUGGGGAGGGUGAGCGGCCACACUGAGACUGACACACGGCCCGGACUCGUACGGGAGGCAGCAGUAGGGAAUCUUCCGCAAUGGACGAAAGUCUGACGGAGCAACGCCGCGUGGGUGAUGAAGGCUUUCGGGUCGUAAAACUCUGUUGUUAGGGAAGAACAAGUGCUAGUUGAAUAAGCUGGCACCUUGACGGUACCUAACCAGAAAGCCACGGCUAACUACGUGCCAGCAGCCGCCGCAG
rnacentral:rRNA from 1 species